rnacentral:misc_RNA from 1 species
UUUCCGUAGGUGAACCUGCGGAAGGAUCAUUAUUGUAUAACCGAGGUGCGAGGGCUGUCGCUGACCCGACAGGUCGCGCACGCCCGAGUGCCCUCACACACAUCCAUCUCACCCCUAUGUGCACCACCGCGUGGGUCCCCCUUUGGCUUGUUCGGAGGGGGGCUUACGUUUUCACACAAACUUUGUAUGCAGUGUAGAAUGUAUUUUUUGUUUUUGCGAUCACGCAAUCAAUACAACUUUCAACAACGGAUCUCUUGGCUCUC